ensembl:lncRNA
GGUAGCCUAUGUAGCCCAUCUUCGUCAGUUUCAGAGGGUAGAUUUCUCAGCGUUGCUCUUUCCCAAUGUCUCCAACCCUUGUGUGUUCUUUUUGCUCAGAUAUUGAACCUGAGCUAGCCUCUCUUGCCCAUCUUCCUCAGUUUCAGAGGGUAGAUAUUUCAGGGUUGCUUUUUCCACAGGUCUCCACGUCCUUGUGUUUUUGGGUUUUUUUUUUUUUCGCUUAAUGGUUGUCACCUGAGCUAGCCUCUCUUGCCCAUCUUCCUCUGUUUCACUGGGUCGAUUUCUCAGUGUUGCUAUAGCCCAAGUUCUCCACGCCCUUGUGUUUUGUUUUUGCUUAGAGAUUGCCACCUGAGCUAGCCUCUGUUGUCCAUCUUCGUCCGUAUCAGAGGGUCGAUUUCUCAGUGUCCCUUUUUCCCCCGGUCUGCACGACCUUGUGUUUUGUUUUCGCUUCAAGAUUGCCACCUGAAGCCAGCCACCCUUGCCCAUCUUGGUCAGUUUCAGAGGGUAGAUUUCUCGGUGUUGCUUUUUCGCCAGAUCUCCACGCCCUUGUGUUUUGUUUUUGCUUACACAUUGCCACCUGAGCUAGCCUCUGCUGCCCAUCUUCGUCAGUUUCAGAGGGUGGAUUUCCCAGUGUUGCUUUUUCCCCAGGUCUCCACGCCCUUGUGUGUUUCUUUUGCUUAACGAUUGCCACCUCAGCUAGCCUCUGUUGCCCAUCUUCGUCAGUUUCAGAGGGUGGAUUUCUCAGUGUUGCUUUUUCCCCAGGUCUCCACGCCCUUGUGUGUUUCUUUUGCUUAACGAUUGCCACCUCAGCUAGCCUCUGUUGCUCAUCUUCGUCUGUUUCAGAGGGUGGAUUUCUCAGUGUUGCCUUUUCACCAGCUCCCCACGCCCUUGUGUGUUUCUUUUGCUUAACGAUUGCCACCUCAGCUAGCCUCUGUUGCCCAUCUUCGUCAGUUUCAGAGGGUGGAUUUCCCAGUUGUGCUUUUUCCCCAGGUCUCCACGCGCUUUUGUGUGUGUGUGUGUGUGUGUGUGUGUGUGUUCCUGCUUAAAGAUUGCCACCCGAGCUAGCCACUGUUUCCCAUCUUCGUCCGUUUCAGAGGAUGGAUUUCUCAGUGUUGCCUUUUCGCCAGCUCCCCACGCCCUUGUGUGUUUCUUUUGCUUAAAGAUUGCCACCUGAGCUAGCCUCUGUUGCGCUUCUUUCUCAGUUUCAGAGGGUAGAUUUCUCCGUGUUGCUUUUUCCCCAGGUCUCCACGCACUUCCUUUUAUUUUUCCUUAAAAAUUGCCACCUGAGCUAGCCUCUGUUGCCCAUCUUCGUCGGUUUCAGAGGGUAGAUUUCUCAGUGUUGCUUUUUCCCCAGGUCUCUACGUGCUUGUGUGUGUGUGUGUGUGUGUGUGUGUGUGUGUGUGUGUUUUCUGCUUAAAGAUUGCCACCUGAGCUAGCCCCUGUUGCCCAUCUUCGUCGGUUUCAGAGGGUAGAUUUCUCAGCGUUGCUUUUUCCCCAGGUCUCCACUCACUUCCUUUUAUUUUUUCUUCAUAAUUGCCACCUGAGCUAGCCUCUGUUGCCCAUCUUCGUCGGUUUCAGAGGGUAGAUUUCUCAGCGUUGCUUUUUCCCCAGGUCUCUACGUGCUUGUGUGUGUGGUGUGUGUGUGUGUUUUCUGCUUAAAAAUUGCCACCUGAGCUAGCCCCUGUUGCCCAUCUUCGUCGGUUUCAGAGGGUAGAUUUCUCAGUGUUGAUUUUUCCCCAUUUCUCCACGCCCUCGUGCUUUUUUUUUUUUAUUUCCUUAAAUGUCGGCGCCUGAGCUAGCUUCUUUUGCCCAUCUUCGUCAGUUUCAGCGGGUAGACUCUCCGCCUGCCUUCGACAGGCCCUCUGGACUGGAAAGCUUUCCUCCUCCCGUCAUCACGGUCCUUCUCGGAUGACGUGCCUGGUUUCGGUUUGACCGUCCCCGCCCGCCCUGAUUUUCUAAGUCCUCCCGGGAACCCCGGGGGCGCUCCAGCCGCUCCGGGAAGCGGCGGCCUCCCGGCCGCACCGGCCCAGCCCGGCCCGGGCCGCCCCCUGGCCUCUCUGGGGGGAACUCUCCCCUUCCCCUUCCCGGUGAUCGCCCGAGAAACCUUUUCCGAGUCCCCCUCCUGCGGCUGGGGCUGCGCCUUGGCGGCCGGGAGCCCGCGGGCGGACGCCCCGGGGCCGCACUGGGCCGGGAGGCUGGGUCCGAGGGGGCUCCGGGACGGGAUCGGGCGGCCCGGCGGCCCGGCUGUGCUCCCCGGCGGGCCCGCGCUCCGGCUCCGUCCCGCUGAGGCGGUCGUCGGUC